GGCAGCAGCUAAGAAUAUUCCGCAAUGGGCGAAAGUCUGACGGAGCGACGCCGCGUGGAUGAUGAAGGCCGGAAGGUUGUAAAAUCCUUUUAUGACUGAGGAAUAAGGGAAGUGAGAGAAACGCUUCCUGGUGACUGUAGGUCAUGAAUAAGCAACGGCUAAUUACGUGCCAGCAGCCGCGGUAACACGUAAGCCCCGAGCGUUGUUCGGAAUUAUUGGGCGUAAAGGGCGCGCAGGCGGCCGAGCAAGUCUGGAGUGAAAUCCCCGGGCCCAACCCGGGAACUGCUUUGGAAACUGCUUGGCUGGAGUCGCCGAAGGGAAGCCGGAAUUCCUGGUGUAGGGGUGAAAUCUGUAGAUAUCAGGAAGAACACCGAUGGCGAAGGCAGGCUUCCGGCGGACGACUGACGCUGAGGCGCGAAGGCGCGGGGAGCAAACAGGAUUAGAUACCCUGGUAGUCCGCGCAGUCAACGAUGCACACCGGGCGUCCGGACAUGAGUCUGGGUGCCGUAGCGAACGCGUUAAGUGUGCCGCCUGGGGAGUAUGCCCGCAAGGGUGAAACUCAAAGGAAUUGACGG
rnacentral:rRNA from 1 species